GUCAAAAAUGUUUACACAGAGCUCUGAUGAUUCUGACAUCAGGAAUGCUCUCUUAUUUAAGACUGACAGGAGAUGUACAAUCACUGAUGUGCAAUUUCUUCUCUUUUUCACCUCGAGGCUUAUUUUGCAGAUGGAAAUAAGCAACAUGAUCGUGAGCCGGUGUUCUCUGAAGAGCUGGGUCUGGCUAUGGAGAAAUUAAAAGAUGGAUUCACACUACAGGGACUCUGGGAAGUCAUGGGUUAAAACGCUCAAACGCUCUGUACCAUUAUAUGUAUUUCGGCAUUGCGUUGCUACAUUAUUUACAUCCAAUUUGAAAACAUUUUUCAUUUGCUAAAUGUGAAAAUGUUAUUUAUUUUUAGAAUAUUUAUUUGAUAUUUGAUAAUGGCAUGUUUACAAAUCAUAUGCAAACCAAGUGUAAGUUAGGGAAAAAAGCUGGGGAAAAAAUUAAAAGGUACUUUUGUAUAAUAUGAAUGUAUACACAGAAAUAGAAACAUUUAUAUAUGUAUCAAAUAUAAAAUAAUAUUUGUAUAUUAGAAACUGUAAGCUUGUUUAUGUAGACAACUUCACAUGCUAAUUCUGCUGUUGUGUUGUUUUUUGUGUUUAAUCAGUUUUUCAAUACCUGUUUAAGUGGUUUUGAUAGUAAUGGUUUGUUCAAACCAUCAUAUGCGGUUCGUAGGCUCAGGUUUGACAAGUCUGUUUAAAAAUGUGUCAGAGGAGCUCAACUACUUCACAAAUGACCAGAAGAGCAGAUUAAUUGCUCUCUGCUGUCCUUUUAGGCAACAGAAGGUUAUAAAGUAAAAAGAGCAUUUAAAGGAAUACUUCACAAAAAUAAUUAUUUACUCACCCUCAAGUUGUUCCAAACUUGUGAGCUGUUAUGUUUUCUGUGGAACAAAAAUGUAAAAUGUAAGUUUAGAAAAAUGUACAAACUAUUUACAAUGACCUUUUAUAGUCUUCCAAGCUACAAAAAGAGCAAAAAAAAAACAUACAUUUUAUAACUAGCUCAUGAAAGUGCAUAAAUAAUGACACCAUUUUCAUUUCUGGCUGAACUUUUCCUUUAAAUAGAAACCACCCAUGAAGAGUACAAGAUGAAUGAGUCACAGACCUAUCAACUUACAAAUCGUACAAAUGACACCAUGUGCAAAACGGAGGUAAUUACACACACCUUUACAAUUAUUUAAAACUCUGUUGAAUUCAUACUGAUGUGUCACUCCUUCCAUCCUUUAGUUACAUAGCACCAAACACACAUUCAAUUACAAAACACCCUUGACCUCUCAGUGUGUCCAAGGUUCACAGUUGUCUUUUUCAGUCUUUGACAGCUGCUCCCGUUUGGUCAGCCUGAAUUCUUUCUGACUGUAUGACGGGUCUAUAUUUAGAGGGGCAGAUUUAAAUUUCAGUGUUGCGUUGGAGCUCGGUGUUAUUUCAGCUUCUUAUAACUGAAACAGCAAGACAAGAGGAAGUAUAGCAUCCUCUU
rnacentral:lncRNA from 1 species